AGCGAGACACUGUAGGAAUGUUUGAUAUAUAGUUGGACUAAAUAACAACCUAAUAUAUCAAACAUAUCACACAGAGUCCUGCA